rnacentral:rRNA from 1 species
CCUACGGGUGGCAGCAGUGGGGAAUAUUGCGCAAUGGGCGAAAGCCUGACGCAGCGACGCCGCGUGAGGGAUGAAGGUCUUCGGAUCGUAAACCUCUGUCAGCAGGGAAGAACGGUCCCUGUCCUAAUCACCAGUGAAUUGACGCUACCUGCAAAGGCAGCACCGGCUAACUCCGUGCCAGCAGCCGCGGCAAUACGGAGGGUGCGAGCGUGAAUCGGAAUUACUGGGCGUAAAGCGCUCGUAGGCGGUAUGUCAAGUCCAGGGUGCAAUCCCCGCGCUCAACGUGGGAAUUGCCUUUGAAACUGGCAGACUGGAGUGUGUGAGAGGAUAGUGGAAUUCCCGGGGGAGGAGUGAAAUGCGUAGAUA